AUUGAACGCUGGCGGCAGGCCUAACACAUGCAAGUCGAACGAGUGGCGGACGGGUGAGUAAUGUCUGGGACACUGCCCUAUGGAGGGGGAUAACUACUGGAAACGGUAGCUAAUACCGCAUACCAUCGGAUGUGCCCAGUGGGUAUUAGCUAGUAGGUGGGGUAACGGCUCACCUAGGCGACGAUCCCUAGCUGGUCUGAGAGGAUGACCAGCCACACUGGAACUGAGACACGGUCCAGACUCCUACGGGAGGCAGCAGUGGGGAAUAUUGCACAAUGGGCGAAAGUCUGAUGCAGCAAUGCCGCGUGUAUGAAGAAGGCCUUCGGGUUGUAAAGUACUUUCGGUGAGGAGGCGUUACUCGCAGAGGAAGCCACGGCUAACUACGUGCCAGCAGCCGCGGUAAUUC
rnacentral:rRNA from 1 species